UUUUUAAUAAAUACAUCCCUAACCAAAUUUAAAUACAAAAAGAUUUUUGACUUUAACAAACAGAAGAUAAUUUAAUUCUUCCGUCCAUUUGUCUUUCAUACACCAAAUAAAACUUACUGAUGUGAUUAAAAUGGUGUCUAAGUGUCUGUUACGGACUACGGUGUUAUGUUAAAAGGGAGAUAAAAUUCAAAAGACAAAUAAGUCCUUGCUGAUAAAAACGACGUCGUUUUGCAAAUAGGGAUAAUUGGAAUUGAAGCCAUAAGCGUCAACAUGGUGGCAAUGACGUCCCUAGCCACUCCAUCCAUCACCGUCAGCUUCACUAAUUCCAAAACACUUACUUGACUUCUUAGCUAUUGGCCUUCUUCUAAUUCAACUCUUCGUCAUCAUCCUUCUUCUUGUGCCUUCACUCUCCGUUGCGGCGCUGCCGUCUUUGCCUCUUCCUCUUCCCCUUUCACUUCUCCAAUUCCAAUUCAAAUUCCGUGAUUGUGGCCACGCUUGGAAUCAAUACACAGCCUUAACGUGAUUACGAACCUCUUUAAGUUAUGAUUUCGGGUGCUCCUACUUCCGGAAAAGGCACUCAAUGCGAGCUUAUCAAACACAAGUUUAGUGCACGUUGCUGCUGGGCGAUUUGCUUAGGGCUGAGAUCGCCACUGGCAGUGAUAAUGGAAAGCUUGUUAAACAGUAUAUAGAGAAAGGUCAACUUGUUCCCAAUCAUAUUGUUGUCAUGUAAUGCUACCCUCUUAUUUCUCUUCUCUCGUUGUUCAUGUUGUAUGUAUGUAUGCAUGUAUGUGGUUGAUGUGGGGUGUGUGUAGAUAGUGAAGGAUCGUCGCUUGAACCUGAUGUUAAGGAUUCAAUGGAUGUCCGUGAAGCUUGUCUCAGGCUACUGUCCUCAAAUGACAUCGUUUUCAUCUGUAGGGACCUAUUUGUCUUUCAAAUUUUAUCCCCCUUCUAGCGUGGCACCGUAACGGACACUUGGAUACCGUUUCAACCACGUCAGCUAGUUCCAUUUGGUGUAUGAGAGGCAAAUGGAUGGAAGAAUUAAAUUGUCCUCCAUUUGUUAAAGUCAAAGGUUUUUUUGUAUUUAGAUUUUAUCAGGGAUGUAUUUGUCAAAAACUUAAAAGGUCGGGACCUAUCUACCCUUUUCCCUAAUAUUUAAAUUGCUUGUAGGGCUACACAUGGGUUGGAUAAUAUUCACAAAUUUGUGGUAUUUAUCCGCAUCC